CAUCGAUCCCACACAUAUCUCUCACCAGACCCCCCGACAUCUCGUGGAAAGACCUAGGCCCGAUGGCCAAAACCUGGAGUCAAAUGACCCCAGAACAACUGACUUCUACGAGAAUCAACAAAAAGACUAUUAAUUACUGUACAACUGGGUACCCCAGGUACCAUACAGAAGCCUGUGAGGAUCCACUCACCACAGACUGUGACCACGAUAUCCCUCAUGAUUGCUUUGAACAAAUGAAAAUGGAAACUACACAUCUACCAACUGUCUAUGAAGCUGCACUACUCAACCCGGACCAAACAUUAUUUGUGGAUGGGUCAAGAUUUGCUGAUGAACAAGGGCAAUAUCACACUGGGUAUGCAGUUACCACAGAAUGUCAAGUGUUACAAGCAGCUGCCCUACAACCAAAUAAGUCUGCUCAAGAAGCUGAAUUGACAGCCCUAACUGUGGCUUGCAAAUUGUCUGAAGGGUUGCGUGUCAACAUUUACACGGAUUCAAGAUAUGCCUUGGGAGUAGCACAUGAUUUUGGCUUAAUUUGGAAGACCAGAGGAUUUCUUACGGCCACUGGUACCCCAGUAAAGCAUGGGGCAGCCAUUGCAGAGCUGAUGGACGCAUUGGAACUUCCAGCUGAGGUGGCAGUACUGAAGGUAAAAGCCCAUGGAAGACUAGACACAGAAGAAGCACGUGGCAAUCACCUGGCUGAUCAAGCAGCUAAAGAAGCAGCACGGCAAAGAUGGGAAGUGGACAGAAGAGUGGCCACAGAUACACUGCCUAUCUAUACUAUGCAAACAUUGCCUACAGACCUCAGGCUUCUGAAGGAACAGCAAGCUGCUGCUACUCCCCAAGAGAAACAAGGUUGGAAGAACAAAGGAGCUAUACUCCGUGAUGAUGUUUACACCAUUAAUCUCAAGUUCUGCCUACCUAGAAGUAUGUACCCAGCGGUGGUCCAAUGGGCCCAUGGGCCAGCUCAUCUGUCAAAACUCCUGAUGAAUUCACUGAUUGACAAAUAUUUCGAAGCACCAGGCAUCACCACCUUAACACAGAAUUACUGUAAGUCAUGUACUAUAUGUGCUAAAUGCAAUCCUGGAAAGAUUAUAAAGACUGCACCUAAUCACCUAGCCAAGCCGCAAUAUCCCUUCCAGAGGAUCCAGAUUGAUCACAUUCAGAUGCCAAAGAGUGGACGUUAUGAAUAUGCAUUGGUCAUAGUGGACAUGUUUUCAGGAUGGCCAGAGGCCUUCCCAGUGAC